rnacentral:rRNA from 1 species
AUUGCCCUCUUUCUUCCUGCCUAACACAUGCAAGUCGAGCGGUAGCACAGAGAGCUUGCUCUCGGGUGACGAGCGGCGGACGGGUGAGUAAUGUCUGGGAAACUGCCUGAUGGAGGGGGAUAACUACUGGAAACGGUAGCUAAUACCGCAUAACGUCGCAAGACCAAAGUGGGGGACCUUCGGGCCUCAUGCCAUCAGAUGUGCCCAGAUGGGAUUAGCUAGUAGGUGGGGUAAUGGCUCACCUAGGCGACGAUCCCUAGCUGGUCUGAGAGGAUGACCA